GUGCCUCUUCCUUUCUCCAGAGAUGGAACAAAAUUCUUUGCAGAAGGCAGAACUUUCUGGAAAAUGCAAUGGCUUCAUGCCAGAUCCCGCUACACGAAUGGAGGACAUACCAGACAGUGCCACAGAAGAUGUUAUCACAGAAACUGGAGUCUAUGUUGAGGAUCCCGUGCGCCUGCCAAGAAUUGUCUGCCCCCAGGAUGUCCGCAGGUCCUGCAUGAUAGGCACAGUAGUGACACUGUUCACUGUGCCCCUUGUCCUGAUAUUCUGCUAUUUUGGGAUCCAGGAAGUCUACAAGAUCAGACGUUCUUUCUCCAGUUCUUUGAUAUAGUUUGUUAUUAUCCCAUGGCAGAAUUACAAGACUACAGAGGCUGGCUAUGGAUGACAGUCGUGCGUCUGGCCUGCUGCUCAGCACAUCCACACAGGAGCUGAGGGAUCAUCCUUGCACAGCCCAUCCUGGAAGAGGAGAGUUCUUUGAUAAAUCUGACACCCUUUUAUG